CGGCAAAAUGACCCCGUAACUUAGGGAUAAGGGGUGCCACCAUCAGGUGGCCGCAGAGAAUAGGCCCAAGCGACUGUUUACCAAAAACAUAGGUUUCUGCGAAGUCGCAAGACGAUGUAUAGGAGCUGACGCCUGCCCGGUGCUGGAAGGUUAAGGGGAUCUGUUAGAGUAAUCGAAGCAGUGAACUUAAGCCCCAGUAAACGGCGGCCGUAACUAUAACGGUCCUAAGGUAGCGAAAUUCCUUGUCGGGUAAGUUCCGACCCGCACGAAAGGCGUAACGAUUUGGGCACUGUCUCAACAACAGACUCGGUGAAAUUGUAAUUCCGGUGAAGAUGCCGGAUACCUGCGACAGGACGGAAAGACCCCAUGGAGCUUUACUGUAGCUUGACAUUGGGUCUUGGUACUACAUGUACAGGAUAGGUGGGAGGCUUUGAAACCAGGACGCCAGUUUUGGCGGAGCCAUCCUUGGGAUACCACCCUUGUAGUACUGGGACUCUAACCAUAGGCCAUGAAUCUGGUCUUGGGACACUGUCAGGUGGGCAGUUUGACUGGGGCGGUCGCCUCCCAAAAGG
rnacentral:rRNA from 1 species